AACGAACGCUGGCGGCGCGCCUAACACAUGCAAGUCGAACGAGAAUCCGGGGCAACCCGGUAGUAAAGUGGCAAACGGGUGAGGAAUACAUGGGUAACCUACCCUUGAGAAGGGAAUAACCCGCCGAAAGGUGAGCUAAUACCCUAUACGCUAUCUUUUUUUCGAAAGGAAUAGGAAAGCCGGGUCGAGGACCUGGUACUCAAGGAGGGGCGUCAUGUCCUAUCAGCUUGUUGGUGGGGUAACGGCCUACCAAGGCUACGACGGGUAGCUGGUCUGAGAGGAUGAUCAGCCACACUGGCACUGAGAUACGGGCCAGACUCCUACGGGAGGCAGCAGUGGGGAA
rnacentral:rRNA from 1 species